UGAGCUGAUUGUGCAAAUCAUAAAUGUAAUGGCUGGCUAUUGGUCAGAAGAACUGCGGCUCAAUCCACAGUACCAGAGGUUGCUCCAAACCACUAAUAGAGUCUGCCAUGGCCUCCGUAAUUAUCAAAUCAGCAAGGCACAUGAUAGUGGAAGCAACAAGAGGAUAACCUGCAUGACUACCCAUCAAAUAGAAUCAGACAUGCGAGAACUUGUGCAAUUGGUGCUCCAAAAUUCCUCAGAUGGUGUGCACACCAAUGUGAAGAAUUCAUUCCUCACAGUGGCCAAGGGCUUCUAUUACGGAGCAUAUUGUGACCCAGAGACCAUAAAC
rnacentral:sRNA from 1 species